rnacentral:rRNA from 1 species
AUACAACUUUCAACAAUGGAUCUCUUGGCUCUCGCAUCGAUGAAGAACACAGCGAAAUGUGAUAAGUAAUGUGAAUUGCAGAAUCCAGUGAAUCAUCGAAUCUUUGAACGCAUCUUGCGCUCCUUGGCAUUCCGAGGAGCAUGCCUGUUUGAGUGUCAUUAA